rnacentral:rRNA from 1 species
UAAGUAAGCUUUGAUCCAGAGAUUUCCGAAUGGGGAAACCCAGCAUGAGUUAUGUCAUGUUAUCGAUAUGUGAAUACAUAGCAUAUCAGAAGGCACACCCGGAGAACUGAAACAUCUUAGUACCCGGAGGAAGAGAAAGAAAAUUCGAUUCCCUUAGUAGCGGCGAGCGAAACGGGAAGAGCCCAAACCAACAAGCUUGCUUGUUGGGGUUGUAGGACACUCUAUACGGAGUUACAAAGGACGACAUUAGACGAAUCAUCUGGAAAGAUGAAUCAAAGAAGGUAAUAAUCCUGUAGUCGAAAAUGUUGUCUCUCUUGAGUGGAUCCUGAGUACGACGGAGCACGUGAAAUUCCGUCGGAAUCUGGGAGGACCAUCUCCUAAGGCUAAAUACUCUCUAGUGACCGAUAGUGAACCAGUACCGUGAGGGAAAGGUGAAAAGCACCCCGGAAGGGGAGUGAAAUAGAACCUGAAACCGUGUGCUUACAAGUAGUCAGAGCCCGUUAAUGGGUGAUGGCGUGCCUUUUGUAGAAUGAACCGGCGAGUUACGAUUUGAUGCAAGGUUAAGCAGUAAAUGUGGAGCCGUAGCGAAAGCGAGUCUGAAUAGGGCGUUUAGUAUUUGGUCGUAGACCCGAAACCAGGUGAUCUACCCUUGGUCAGGUUGAAGUUCAGGUAACACUGAAUGGAGGACCGAACCGACUUACGUUGAAAAGUGAGCGGAUGAACUGAGGGUAGCGGAGAAAUUCCAAUCGAACCUGGAGAUAGCUGGUUCUCUCCGAAAUAGCUUUAGGGCUAGCCUCAAGUGAUGAUUAUUGGAGGUAGAGCACUGUUUGGACGAGGGGCCCCUCUCGGGUUACCGAAUUCAGACAAACUCCGAAUGCCAAUUAAUUUAACUUGGGAGUCAGAACAUGGGUGAUAAGGUCCGUGUUCGAAAGGGAAACAGCCCAGACCACCAGCUAAGGUCCCAAAAUAUAUGUUAAGUGGAAAAGGAUGUGGCGUUGCCCAGACAACUAGGAUGUUGGCUUAGAAGCAGCCAUCAUUUAAAGAGUGCGUAAUAGCUCACUAGUCGAGUGACACUGCGCCGAAAAUGUACCGGGGCUAAACA